rnacentral:lncRNA from 1 species
UUUUUUUGCGUCUUUUCUUUUCCCGUACACUCCCAUCUCUCCUCGGGUCGGCUCGAAUCUAGUUGAUAUUUUUCUUUUUUUCAUAUUUCUUUUUUCCCUUCUCCAUAUUAUGCUUUCAAAGUUGUCUCAAGUCGGCUUGGGCAGGGGGCAAGGAUGAUCACUUUCUCAUCUCUAUUUCUAGGCUCACGUGAGAGCCUUUUGAUUUCUUAGGAUUUAGACCUAACCGUUCAAUAGUGUACGACUGAUGAACAUGUAUAGUCUGAAAUGGAUGUCGUGUUUGGGUUAUUUGGUGUUGUCCUCUCUGUGUCUAUCUUUAACCUGCUACCUUCCUUGCUAUCUGUUGUGUUUUCAUAAGUUUAUAUCUGUUUUUUCAGUAUCGUUUUUUUCCCCUUGACUCUCUAUGUUUGUGUAUCUGUGAAUUUGUUUGCCUUCUCUCUGUUUAAUUCUGUUGUUAGGGUUUCUCAAGUGUCAAGAAGUUCUGCCUUUCAGGUUGUUCCUCACAAAUUCUUCUUUGUUUUUUUCCAUGUUAUUUAUGUUUUUUUUUUUUUCCUUUGGUGAUUGUUGUACGGGGAAAAUGGGCUCGAAUGGAUAUGGGGUGAUAUUCUUUUGGGGAAAAUUGGUUCGACUUGGACAUGGGGUGGUGUUCAUUUGCAUCUUUGAUUUGGAAUUUGUGUUUUUUUUUUUCAUGGGUUUUGUUAUUGCAACUCUGUUGUUGGUGUUUCGGUACUGGAUACGAUUUUGUACAUUUUUUCCAACGUUUUGUUAUUGAGAUUUUUAAUUGAAAUGUGACUGGUUUUUUAGAUAUGUUUCAUAAUUGGUUUUUUUAGAUAUGUUUCAUUAUUUAUUUUACAGUUUGAUAUUUUUGUGAUUGUAGCAAAGAUUAUAGAAUAAAAUAAAUGAGGUUGAGCUUCUGCUGACUUUUAUUUUUGUUUUUGUAUUCAUCAUGUUGGAAAAGGAUGUUGAUUAUAUAUAUCUGUUAGUGCUUGAAAGUGAUUCAUUCCAUACCUUUUUUCCUUUUAUAUUACAGUGGAAACUCAAUAUGAUAGUGAUGUUCAACUUGAACAGGCUCACAUGUUUGUUAUUAUUGAUGAAUUUUUUUUUUUAUUUUUCUUCCUUUAUUACUAUCUAGGAAAAAUGAAAUGAAGUAGGCAAAAGUUCAAAGCUUUCACGUUAAAACUUAUUAGAUCGAGGUUCAUUACAGUAUUUUAUAAAAAAUAUGGAGUGACGUUCUUUUACAAAUCUGUCAUUGGUAUUGUGAUUUUCAAUGUAGAUUUUGUUCAUUUAUUCAUGGAUUUCCUUAUUGAUUUGCUUUUUUUUUUUCUUUGUUUGCAAGGGACUCUAACUCUACUUUAGUUUCUGUGUCAGUGCUUAUAACCAUUAAUUGUAAGUAAUUUACUUCAUGGGUGUUUUUAUUAGAUAGCUUUUCCUAUUGUUGUUUGGGAAAAAUGGAUUGUUAAAGUGUUGUUUAAGAACAUGGAGUCAUGUUCUUUUGCAGCUGUCUUAUUGGUAUUUUGUUAUUCGAUUUGGAUUUUGUUCAUUUAUUCAUGGGUUUAAUUAUUGAUUUGCUUUUAUUUUCUUUUUCUGCAGGGCAAUCUGCUUCAGUUUUUGUGUUACUGUUUACAACGAUUGUAAGUAAUUUACUUCACGGUUUGUUUCCCUAUUACAGACUGCAACGGGAAUUGAAGUUGAUUAUGAUGUUCAACUUGACCGAAUUGAUAUCUUUAGUAAUAUUCAUAGGUUUAUAGUUGCUUUUACUUUACCUAAUGUUAAUAUUCAUAAGUGGAUGAUGAUUUGCU